rnacentral:lncRNA from 1 species
CAGACACUCACGGUAUAGUAGGGUAGUCGUGUGUACAGUGAUAUAGUCAUAUCUGCGCGUCUUUUCAUGCCGUUCGUUGACUUCGUUCACAGGGUCAGGGUCGGGUAGGCGAUAUCGAGUGUGACGCCACACAGGCCGGGGCCACCGACGUCGCGGAGAAUCCGGAUGUAGCCGCGCUCGCCCCAUGACUGGCCCCAUGAGUUCUUGAUGGUCCAGUACUUGGCGCCGGAAGACGCGUCGGUGCCGUACCCGACGACGGUGACGGCGUGCGCUAGGCGCGUGCCGCACGGGCCCGUGUAAACGCCACCCUUGUAGAACUGCAUCCCGCUACCGACCUCGAUGGCCACAGCCACGGGCUGCCGAGCGACGGCGGCCUGCAACGCCGCCUCGUUCCGCGGCGGCACCUUCCCGAAGCCGGUGAUCUUGGCGGCAUGGUGCGCGGACUUGGCGCGGUUGCAGGGGCCCCGCCGCGCCGUGUACGGGUAGUCCGCCUCCGUGGUGAGGCCACCGUUCUCGACAACCCAUUUGUACGCCCGCCCGUACGACCCUAAGUUGCAGCCGCCGUCAUAGCUGUCGCAGUCCACCAGCUGCUGCUCCGACAGAGAGACCAGCUUCCCCGUCUUGAUCAUGUUCAGGCUCUCGAUGGUCGCCGCUGUCACGAACGCCCAGC